GGUCUUAAGGUGAUAUUCAUGUCGAAUUGCAAAUUUGAAGGGGUAGAGAAAUCCUUUACUAAGACUU
rnacentral:tRNA from 2 species